rnacentral:rRNA from 1 species
GUAAUGCCGGAUGCUCCAUCACACCGCAUGGUGUGUUGGGAAAGCCUUUGCGGCAUGGGAUGGGGUCGCGUCCUAUCAGCUUGAUGGCGGGGUAACGGCCCACCAUGGCUUCGACGGGUAGCCGGCCUGAGAGGGCGACCGGCCACAUUGGGACUGAGAUACGGCCCAGACUCCUACGGGAGGCAGCAGUGGGGAAUAUUGCACAAUGGGCGCAAGCCUGAUGCAGCGACGCCGCGUGAGGGAUGGAGGCCUUCGGGUUGUAAACCUCUUUUGUUAGGGAGCAAGGCAUUUUGUGUUGAGUGUACCUUUCGAAUAAGCACCGGCUAACUACGUGCCAGCAGCCGCGGUAAUACGUAGGGUGCAAGCGUUAUCCGGAAUUAUUGGGCGUAAAGGGCUCGUAGGCGGUUCGUCGCGUCCGGUGUGAAAGUCCAUCGCUUAACGGUGGAUUCGCGCCGGGUACGGGCGGGCUUGAGUGCGGUAGGGGAGACUGGAAUUCCCGGUGUAACGGUGGAAUGUGUAGAUAUCGGAAAGAACA